ensembl:lncRNA
CCCACAGCUGAGAGGAAAAAUACAACCAUUAAAGGAACAGUUCACUCCAAAAUCAAAGAUACAGGCCCGUCCUCUAGACUGUAGUGUUGUUCAUCCAUCUAAAUUAAUCUAGUAUGAGUGCCCUGCUUUUAAAGCUAUCAGCUGUUCAGAUGCCUGCCUUCUCUUGGAUGUAUUAGAACUAAACGGCACUCGCCUUGUGGUACUCAAAAAUCCAAACUCAACAGCAAUGCCAGAAUUCAUGACCCGGGUACUCUAAAAGCCCACAAACUUUGAUGUGAGCAGUUUCAUUUAGUAACUAUUUUUUUACUUUUUUUUUCUCUCGCACUAUGCACCACUGCUCUGUCACUCUUAGAAGCUCUACUCAUCCAGUGAACACAGCAGAGAGAGGGAGACCUCUGUUCCUGUGCCAGGAGAAGUCGUCGUGAUGCUGACCAGAGUUUUUUUUUUUUGCAAUGCCUUUAAAAGAAAUCCUCUACAGGGGUGUGAAAAGUCGCUUAAUCUCCCAGCAAAGUCACUAAGUUAGCAGCAGUGAGGUCAUCUGAAGUGUGAUGCUCACUACUGGGAGUGUGAGGGAGGUCAGUCACACAAGCUGAGUAUACAGUCAACAUUUUAUAAAAAAUAACCAAAUCUGAAAAUUCAGAAUUAAAUACUCAACAAAUGGAUAUCCAAAUGAUUUAGUAUUUGGCACAGUCUAAUUUUUGGUCUUUAUCUACCUGCAAAGACAGGUGAAUACCCAUGACUGCAGCAUGGGUAUUCAUCAUAUUAGCUAACUGGAUGUUUUCUGGAUUGGCCGAUGUAGACAGUAGAAAGAAAAUAGCUCCUAAGGUGAAACUGAUCACAGCAAGGUUUGUGGAUUUUUAAAAAAUUAGUGUUUUUUUUGAUAAAUGUAUCAUGACUUCUGGAAAGAGAAUUUUACGACUUCAAUGGUAUUUUGUCAUGAGUGUAACAGAUCUGUUUUUCCUUCUCCUUGUGGGAUGUUUGGUUCGGGUGGUUUAGUGUGUCGAUAUAUGAUAACUGAAAUGUGCAGGUACUUGGACAUGAUUGAUGUGCCAUCUUUCGGCUUGCAG